rnacentral:rRNA from 1 species
GACGAACGCUGGCGGCGUGCCUAAUACAUGCAAGUCGAGCGCAGGAAAUCGACGGAACCCUUCGGGGGGAAGUCGACGGAAUGAGCGGCGGACGGGUGAGUAACACGUAAAGAACCUGCCCUCAGGUCUGGGAUAACCACGAGAAAUCGGGGCUAAUACCGGAUGGGUCAUCGGACCGCAUGGUCCGAGGAUGAAAGGCGCUUCGGCGUCGCCUGGGGAUGGCUUUGCGGUGCAUUAGCUAGUUGGUGGGGUAAUGGCCCACCAAGGCGACGAUGCAUAGCCGACCUGAGAGGGUGAUCGGCCACACUGGGACUGAGACACGGCCCAGACUCCUACGGGAGGCAGCAGUAGGGAAUCUUCCACAAUGGACGAAAGUCUGAUGGAGCAACGCCGCUUGAACGAUGAAGGCCUUCGGGUCGUAAAGUUCUGUUGUAAGGGAAGAACAAGUGCCGCAGGCAACGGCGGCACCUUGACGGUACCUUGCGAGAAAGCCACGGCUAACUACGUGCCAGCCGCCGCCGUAA